rnacentral:rRNA from 1 species
CCUACGGGUGGCAGCAGUGGGGAAUAUUGCACAAUGGGGGAAACCCUGAUGCAGCAACGCCGCGUGAGUGAUGAAGUAUUUCGGUAUGUAAAGCCCUAUCAGCAGGGAAGAAAAUGACGGUAUCUGAUUAAGAAGCACCGGCUAACUACGUGCCAGCAGCCGCGGUAAUACGUAGGGGGCAAGCGUUAUCCGGAUUUACUGGGUGUAAAGGGAGCGUAGACGGCAGCACAAGUCUGGAGUGAAAUGCCAGGGCUUAACCACGGAACUGCUUUGGAAACUGUGCAGCUAGAGUGUAGGAGAGGUAAGUGGAAUUCCUAGUGUAGCGGUGAAAUGCGUAGAUAUUAGGAGGAACACUAGUGGCGAAGGCGGCUUGCUGGACUGUAACUGACGUUGAGGCGCGAAAGCGUGGGGAGCAAACAGGAUUAGAUACCCCGGUAGUC